UGUUCUUGAAAAAAAGCAUUCGGUCAGUGCUUUUAUUUUUAAAAGAGGAAGGCAUUCCAUUUAAUUUGGUUUUGUUUUGUGGCCAUAGUAACAUUUAUAGCCUUAGAAAAGGGACUAGAAGGAUUAAUCCAGUUAUGUUUCUUCUUGGGUGAAACACUCUUGCUACAGAUCCACAAUCUCCUAAGUACACGGAGGAUCACAGCAACAUGAUCGAUGUAGCAGAUGCACACCAUUGGGAGCCCAGGGAAACUCUGAGGGAGCAAGAGCUAAGAGUAUUGCGCAAUUGCCAGAGAAACACCAGGGUCUGUGCUUAGAAUUAUAGGGAGAUGACUGCAUUUAUUAGUUCUUUCUUAUUUGUCAUUCACGGGUAACUUAUUUCAUUGACUCUUUUCCUCAGUUAAAUUAGUCAACUUUCCUUUUUUCUGCUUUUAUUUAUUUGUUCGGUUUGGCAAUGUGCACAACCAGAGUUGUCUUGGAAGCCUGUGCAAGCCAGGGGAUAAUUUGCAGGAGCUGAUUUUCUCCUUCCAUUCUCUGGGUCCCAGAGAUCAAAUUUUGGGUCAAAUCUUGGGCUUAGUAGCUUACCUCUUGAGCCGUCUCUCCAAAGCCCCUCACAAAUGUGAGCAAAGGCUUUCCAUGUCUGUCACGAGUCGGGUGUCUUCUUCCUCCCAGUCCAGUGCUCUCCUUCACUGAACCUUUUGUGACUUGGCUCAACUACUAUUUGUCUAAUGCUUUUUGCUGCCACUUGACUUCGCAGUGAAAGGGACUUUCACUUGGCUUUUGUACAUGAGCGGUUGUAGGGGGGAAAAAAUCUCUCGGGCAAAUUUCAAAUUGUUUAGAACUGUGGCACUUUAAAAGCACCUCGGCAUUGAUCUACUAACUCUAGAUCUCACCUCUCUGUGCUACUUUUAGAGUUUGUAGAUGGAUACUGUCCAGCAGAGGAGAGUCAUCUACGUUCUGAUGUCGAUUUGUUUUCAGAGAUCAGACACUUGACAUUCCUAGAGUGGACUGUCCCUUUAAAAUAUGAAACAAGUAAUGGCCUACAGAAAGAUUAUGAUAAAACUUUCCAGUUUUUUGGCUUUUCCCUUCGGCCCUGACUGGAUGUGUAGUCUACUUCCCACAAUCCUGUAUGUUACAUGGUUCCCUACCCAGACCACUCCCUUUGCCCCACCCCAAAAAUGGCUACUGGGCUUUCUCAAUCAUCUUGCAUGCCACCCCUCGCCUUCUUUUAUGUUUCAGAGUUGUGUGUGAAGAAUCACAUUAGUGAUACUGUAUGCUUUCUUUUACAAUCUAUUUACGUUUACACAUAUUUAUUUUUAUAUUUACAUAUUUCUCAUUGUUUACCAGUUGGCAAUAGUGAUAUUUUGUGAGCUGACUUUACAUUUUACUUCCGGGAUCCAUAUCAUUCAAAGCUUUAAGGUCUUAUUAAAGGCACUUGAAGGUUUUCUGGGUGUUAUUUAUGCUUAGUGUUUUUCUGUAAUGGAGUUGGUAAUGUGUCAUUGUUUCCUCUUCUAAAUUUAAGUAACUAAAUACUCUGACAGAUUCCUAGAGCUUCCUUCUACCACUAGCAGGUGAGCUCUGGUUGUGUUACAACAGGGCGCAUUAGCUCUGUUUACAUCUACUAAUUUGUUUUUAGAGUAUUGUCCUUCCCAACCACACUUUCCAGUUCACCUGCCAUCUUUCACAGGCAGCAGUGAGAGAGGUUUACCUUUUAAACUCAUAUUUUUUUAAUGUUUUCAAUCCUAGAUUUCACUUUUCCUUUAGUUUAAUCAGUCAUGGAGUCUUUUGAUUAUUAGCAUAUGCUUGACUCUGGUUUUAAUAAAAGUUAGUUUUAUUAUCAUAAAAUGUCUCCCAGUUGAUAACCUUGAAUUAUUUAGAAGUAGAAUAUCUAACCACAAAUACCUCCUAAAAUUAAUGUGUUCAUACUUCAAAU
rnacentral:lncRNA from 1 species